AGGUGAAAGUGGAGCGCCGCACUUAACGAAGGCGAGUCCUGACGGGCUGCGGGGGGAACGGGGAGGGUCAGUGGGGGUGGGGGGGGGAUCUGGGGGGGUUCCGAGCAGAUCCAGAGGGAUCACCAAAGGCAGCGCAGAGCGACCCGGGGAUUCCCAGGCAGGAAUCCCGCCCCCCCCCCCCGCGGACCUGCAGCGCACCCCCCGCCUUUCCCGUGGCUCGCCGCAAUCCUGCGCGCAGCACGGCGCUGUUAAUUGCUAAUUAAUCACGCCGGCUCGCUCCGUAACCCCCCCCCCCCAUCAAAGCCGAGGACGGCGGGGCUGAGGCGCAGCCCAGGGAGGAGGGGGUGGAGGAGCGCCCCCGCCGCGCAGCGGGCAAAGUGGGUUCUGCUUUAACCACACACCGCCUCCGGGACCGCCCCGUGGGGUCAUCUCCUCGUGGUGAAUCCACGUGGGCUGCCCGGGGAUCUCCGGCCCAUCGUCCACGCGUGGAGGAGCGCUUCCGUCCCUCUGCAAAGGGAUCCCCUCUCUUGGGGUAGGGGGUGGGGGGAGGCCCACAGACAAAACAUCCCAACAGCAGCCCCCCAACACCACAGCACCCCAACAGCAGCACCCAACAGCACAGCAUCCCAAAAGAGCAGCCCCCCAACACCACAGUGCCCCAACAGCAGCCCCCCGACACCACAGCACCCCAAAAGAGCAGCCCCCCAACAGCACAGCACCCCAACAGCAGCACCCAACAGCACAGCAUCCCAAAAGAGCAGCCCCCCAACAACACAGCACCCAACAUGAGAGCAUCCCAAAAGAGCGGCCCCUCAACACAACAGCAGCCCAACAGCAGUACCCAACGCCAACACCCAACACCGCAGCCCCCCGACUCAAAAGCAGCCCCCCAACACAACAGCGUCCCAGCAGCAGCCCCCCGACAAACACCACAGCCCCCCAACACUGACAACCAACACACCCACCCACCCACCCACCCAACCCAUCAGAACGUCGCUUUUCCCACCCAGAAGUGCUGCACUGAGAGACGUUAACGCAGAUCAGCACUACUGAGUGCAAGGACGGACACAGCGCUACGCCCAACAGCAGCGCCCGCCGCCACCGUCGCUUUAAUUAAUUGCUUUUAAUUGCUUUUACACAACCAGCCAGAGCAGCCCGCAACUUCUGCUGGCCCAGAACCCAACGCAAUGAGUUUGGUAGGAAAUGGGGGAGAAAGGGAGCACUUUUGGUGUGAAAUACUGCACACGGACGGCGCUCCGGGGCAGAACGGGCUGUGAACAACAACGGCCCCACUGAUCGCCCGCUGCGCCCCACAGCCACCAAACGGCGCCGCUGGGAGCCAACGAUCCCAUGCAGAAUGGAGCAGAGGGCUGAACGCAACGGAGCCAACAGCAGCAGCACUUCCUCCGCCCGCCAUGCUCUGCAGUCAGACCCCAACCCAACCCCACCCAACCCCCCCACCCCCCUCCAGCUCCAUCACGGCCCACAGGCGGUGAUCAACGCCAACGAAGCCCCAAAACGCUCCCAACGCUUCUUAAAGCUUUCCCCUUAAAGCUUUCCCCUUAAAGCUUUCCCCUUAAAGCUUUCCCCGUGGGUGCCAAACAUCCCCACGACUCCGUGCCGGGAGCUCAGAGCGCCCGGGGAUUGUGGUGCCCAGAAGGAGAGGACCCACCUGGGGUUACUCGGGGGGCUCUGCCCCCCAGCUGCUGCUCAGGGCCCCCCCCGCUGCGGCCUCCUCUCUUUUGAGGGGUCCCAGGGCCCACUGGGCCUGCAGGAGAGGCACCGCGCGGUGCUGCGGCCGAUGGCGCUUCAUGUGAGCGUUGCGACCUUUGAUCUUGUCAAACACCCUGGAAACAAAAGGGGUGUGGGGGGGUGGUAAUUAAUUCCUGUCUUAAUUAGACGAAGGUCACUAAACCCAGCGUCGCGACUUCCGCCCACGUGGGUUCGGACUGAGAGAAGCUCAGAGAACGCAGAAGCGAGCAGGGCCAGGAUGGGCACAAUCCUGCUCCCAGGAGGGGUGUAAAGCAGCAGCCCAAAGCACGGCUCUUACCUCUCACACUCGGUGCAGGGGAACACGUUGUGAUGCUCCACGCCGCCGGGAGCUCGGCCCACACUGCAGGAGGGGCUGCCCGCACCGUGGGGUGCCUUCCUGCAGCUCUUCUUGCUGCUCUCCUUGGGCAGAAGGCAGUGCCUCUUCUUCGGGGGGCAAAGGGGCUGCAGGUCAGACAGCAGAGAUGUAGUAGUACUCGACGCACUGGGACACGUUCUUCGUCUGGACCUGAGCGGGAGGAACGGAAGUGACCUCUAUGGGAGAUGGCAGGCAUUGCCCGACCCCCCCGACCACAGCGCCCCAGGGCCGGGCGCAGCCCCUCCCCUCAGCCUCCAGGCUUCACCUUCUUCUGGAUCAGGUAGAAAUCCUUCUUGUGGGCAUGAAAGGCGUUUCUGAAGAGCUGCCUCUCCACGGGCGUCCACACGUCCGAGCCUGGGGAUGAAGCAGCACUCAGCACUGCGGUGCGACGCCGGGAACGGCUCAGGGCAGUCACUGCUCACACCUCUGCACCUCUCCCCUCCGGGACGUUUGGAAGGCAGCUCUGAGCUCGUUACCUGUGUAGCGGUAAUUAGCGAGAGGAUGGGACUGGGAUUUGUGCGGCCAUCCGAACAGCAGCAGCUCCAGAGCGUCCUGCAGGCGGAGGAGAAGGGCUUCAGAUGCCAGGAGAAGCAGACGUGGAACGCUCUGUGCCUUCUGCUCCCAGCUCCGCGCUGCCGCAGUGCCCUCCAGUGCAGGGACGGAUCUGUGCUCCGGCCGCGCUCCGCCACCGCCUCGGCCCAAAGAACUCCGCACUUCCAGCAGCUCGUGGGCCCAGCUGAGCUCCCGGCUCACACCAGGAAGGAUUCGUUGUGGCGCUGUUAAUUACAGCCCGGCAGCGGCUCCUUACCAC